rnacentral:rRNA from 1 species
UGGGGAAUCUUGGACAAUGGGCGCAAGCCUGAUCCAGCAAUGCCGCGUGGGUGAAGACGGCCUGCGGGUUGUAAAGCCCUUUAGGCGGGGAGGAACGACGGGACGCGAAUAGCGUUUCGGAGUGACGUUACCCGCGGAAUAAGCACCGGCUAACUCCGUGCCAGCAGCCGCGGUAAUACGGAGGGUGCGAGCGGUAAUCGGAAUUACUGGGCGUAAAGCGUGCGUAGGCGGUGGGGUCAGUCAGCCGUGAAAGCCCUGGGCUUAACCUGGGAACGGCGGUUGAGACGGCCCGACUUGAGUGGGCUAGAGGAUCGUGGAAUUCCGGGUGUAGCGGUGAAAUGCGUAGAGAUCCGGAGGAACACCGAUGGCGAAGGCAGCGGUCUGGGGCCACACUGACGCUGAGGCACGAAAGCGUGGGGAGCAAACAGG